GACGAACGCUGGCGGCGUGCUUAACACAUGCAAGUCGAACGGUGACGAGGAGCUUGCUCCUCUGAUCAGUGGCGAACGGGUGAGUAACACGUGAGCAACCUGCCCCAGACUCUGGGAUAACAGUUGGAAACAGCUGCUAAUACCGGAUACGAGACGGAGAGGCAUCUCUACCGUCUGGAAAGUUUUUCGGUCUGGGAUGGACUCGCGGCCUAUCAGCUAGUUGGUGAGGUAAUGGCUCACCAAGGCGACGACGGGUAGCCGGCCUGAGAGGGCGACCGGCCACACUGGGACUGAGACACGGCCCAGACUCCUACGGGAGGCAGCAGUGGGGAAUAUUGCACAAUGGGCGAAAGCCUGAUGCAGCGACGCCGCGUGAGGGAUGACGGCCUCGGUUGUAACUACUUCUAGCAGGAGAAGCGAAGUAGAGUACCUGCAGAAGAAGACACCGCGUAACUACGUGCACGCAGCCGCGUAAAGU
rnacentral:rRNA from 1 species